rnacentral:rRNA from 1 species
UGGGGAAUCUUGCACAAUGGGCGCAAGCCUGAUGCAGCCAUGCCGCGUGUAUGAAGAAGGCCUUCGGGUUGUAAAGUACUUUCAGCGGGGAGGAAGGGAGUAAAGUUAAUACCUUUGCUCAUUGACGUUACCCGCAGAAGAAGCACCGGCUAACUCCGUGCCAGCAGCCGCGGUAAUACGGAGGGUGCAAGCGUUAAUCGGAAUUACUGGGCGUAAAGCGCACGCAGGCGGUUUGUUAAGUCAGAUGUGAAAUCCCCGGGCUCAACCUGGGAACUGCAUCUGAUACUGGCAAGCUUGAGUGUCGUAGAGGGGGGUAGAAUUCCAGGUGUAGCGGUGAAAUGCGUAGAGAUCUGGAGGAAUACCGGUGGCGAAGGCGGCCCCCAGGACGAAGACUGACGCUCAGGUGCGAAAGCGUGGGGAGCAAACAGG